CCUACGGGAGGCAGCAGUGGGGAAUAUUGGACAAUGGGGGGAACCCUGAUCCAGCCAUGCCGCGUGUGUGAAGAAGGCCCUCGGGUUGUAAAGCACUUUCAGUGAGGAAGAACGCCUGGUGGUUAAUACCCAUCAGGAAAGACAUCACUCACAGAAGAAGCACCGGCUAACUCCGUGCCAGCAGCCGCGGUAACACGGAGGGUGCGAGCGUUAAUCGGAAUUACUGGGCGUAAAGCGCGCGUAGGUGGCUUGAUAAGCCGGUUGUGAAAGCCCCGGGCUCAACCUGGGAACGGCAUCCGGAACUGUCAAGCUAGAGUGCAGGAGAGGAAGGUAGAAUUCCCGGUGUAGCGGUGAAAUGCGUAGAGAUCGGGAGGAAUACCAGUGGCGAAGGCGGCCUUCUGGACUGACACUGACACUGAGGUGCGAAAGCGUGGGUAGCAAACAGGAUUAGAUACCCCUGUAGUC
rnacentral:rRNA from 1 species